rnacentral:tRNA from 2 species
GCCCUCUUAGCGUAGCUGGCAGCGCGUCAGUCUCAGAAUCUGAAGGUCCUGAGUUCAAGCCUCAGAGAGGGCA